GAUGAAGAACGCAGCGAAAUGCGAUAAGUAAUGUGAAUUGCAGAAUUCAGUGAAUCAUCGAAUCUUUGAACGCACAUUGCGCCCGCCAGUAUUCUGGCGGGCAUGCCUGUUCGAGCGUCAUUUCAACCAUCAAGCCCCAGGCUUGUGUUGGGGACCUGCGGCUGCCGCAGGCCCUGAAAACCAGUGGCGGGCUCGUUGUCACACCGGGCGUAGUAGAUUUUAUCUCGCUCAGGGCGUGCUGCGGGUUCCGGCCGUUAAAAAGCCUUUUUUACCCAAGGUUGACCUCGGAUCAGGUAGGAAGACCCGCUGAACUUAAGCAUAUCAAUAAGCGGAGGA
rnacentral:misc_RNA from 1 species